GCACCAUGGUGGCUCCUGAAGCUCUGCUGCCCCUUUAGUUUGAUCUUCCACCACCCAGCACCCUUUCCAGUAGGGGAGGACAAAAAGGAGAAGUUAAGAGAAGGGAAGAGAGCAAACAGGAAUACAACCUGACACAAGACAUCCCCAGUGGAAAAGGCUGGACAAGGUGCCAAGUUUUCAGUAUGGAAUUAUGGAAUGGAUCCUACUCUGACCUCCACUAUUUAGGAAUUAUAGUUAAUUCCUGACCCUCCACUAAAGUCAGAAGCUUUUGAUCCUCACCACCAAGCCUGUGCAUCGCUAUAAAUAAAAGAAGGGAUGCUAUAAAUAAAAUAAAGGACGAUGGA